UUGAAUGAUGAUCCUCCACUGAUAGGAAUUGCCGUCUGAUCGACAACUGACGUCGCCUCUGUGUCUGAGU